rnacentral:rRNA from 1 species
GACGAACGCUGGCGGCGUGCUUAACACAUGCAAGUCGAACGGUGAAGCCUUCGGGUGGAUCAGUGGCGAACGGGUGAGUAACACGUGAGCAAUCUGCCCUUGACUCUGGGAUAACUUCGGGAAACCGGAGCUAAUACCGGAUAUGACAUCUGGCCGCAUGGUCUGGGUGUGGAAAGAUUUAUCGGUCAGGGAUGAGCUCGCGGCCUAUCAGCUUGUUGGGGGGUAAUGGCCCACCAAGGCGACGACGGGUAGCCGGCCUGAGAGGGCGACCGGCCACACUGGGACUGAGACACGGCCCAGACUCCUACGGGAGGCAGCAGUGGGGAAUAUUGCGCAAUGGGCGAAAGCCUGACGCAGCGACGCCGCGUGAGGGAUGAA